rnacentral:tRNA from 1 species
GCUGGGGUGGCGGAACUGGUAGACGCACAGGACUUAAAAUCCUGCGGCCUUAGGGCCAUGCGGGUUCGAUUCCCGCCCUCAGCACCA